rnacentral:sRNA from 1 species
UCUGUCGUUCACCCAUCCAGCCAUACAAUCAUCUGCUCUGAUAAUUGAAUGCUUUACGCUUAACUAGCUGAUUAUUGUAAUCAGUGUAUAUAAGGCAACUGUUUGUUAUAGAAGUCCUCUUCAUUCUUUGGUGGGACUGCCAGAUUGGGUUGUGUUGACGAGAUUCAAAAUGAAACGUGUUUAUGUUUUGUUGCUGGCAUUAACUGCCUUCGUUGACUGCAAUGCUGAGCUUAAAAGAAUCCAGCUUCAUAGAAUGGAGACUAUUAGAAGUCGACUAGACAGACUCCAGACCAGUCAACUCCAGAAACUCCUGUUUACUAAAUACACAGACCCACACUUUGAGCCGAUCAAGAACUACAUGGAUGUAAGCAGAGACACACUUUUCAUUGAUAGAAAUAAAAAUAGAAUGGGGUAAACCCAA